rnacentral:rRNA from 1 species
AUGAACGCUAGCGAUAGGCUUAACACAUGCAAGUCGAGGGGCAGCACAAGGUAGCUUGCUAUCUGGGUGGCGACCGGCGCACGGGUGCGUAACGCGUAUGCAACUUGCCCUAUACAGGAGGAUAACCCGUCGAAAGACGGACUAAUACUGCGUAUGCUCACAACUUGGCAUCAAGUGGUGAGGAAAGAAAUUCGGUAUAGGAUAGGCAUGCGUCCCAUUAGCUUGUUGGUGAGGUAACGGCUCACCAAGGCAACGAUGGGUAGGGGAACUGAGAGGUUUAUCCCCCACACUGGUACUGAGACACGGACCAGACUCCUACGGGAGGCAGCAGUGAGGAAUAGUGGUCAAUGGGCGCGAGCCUGAACCAGCCAAGUCGCGUGAAGGAUGACUGUCUUAUGGAUUGUAAACUUCUUUUAUACGGGAAUAACAAGAGUCACGUGUGACUCCCUGCAUGUACCGUAUGAAUAAGCAUCGGCUAACUCCGUG